rnacentral:rRNA from 1 species
UAAGGAAUAUUGGUCAAUGGAGGGAACUCUGAACCAGCCAUGCCGCGUGCAGGAUGACUGCCCUAUGGGUUGUAAACUGCUUUUGUCAGGGAAUAAACCUUUCUACGUGUAGGAAGCUGAAUGUACCUGAAGAAUAAGGAUCGGCUAACUCCGUGCCAGCAGCCGCGGUAAUACGGAGGAUCCGAGCGUUAUCCGGAUUUAUUGGGUUUAAAGGGUGCGUAGGCGGUUUUUUAAGUUAGUCGUUAAAUCUCUGAGCUCAACUCAGACAUGGCGAUUAAUACUGGAGAACUAGAGAUUAGUUGCAGAGGGCGGAAUGUGUAGUGUAGCGGUGAAAUGCUUAGAUAUUACACAGAACACCGAUUGCGAAGGCAGCUCUCUAAGCUACAUCUGACGCUGAGGCACGAAAGCGUGGGGAUCAAACA